rnacentral:rRNA from 1 species
GCGGCAGGCUUACACAUGCAAGUUGAGGGGUAACGAUUCUGAUUUCGGUUAGAAGGCGACGACCGGCGCACGGGUGAGUAACGCGUAUGCAACCUACCUUUAACAGGAGAAUAGCCUCGAGAAAUCGGGAUUAAUGCUCCAUAAUAUUAAUUUGUCACCUAACAAAUUACUUAAAGCUACGGCGGUUAAAGAUGGGCAUGCGUACCAUUAGUUAGUUGGUGAGGUAAUGGCUCACCAAGGCGAUGAUGGUUAGGGGUUCUGAGAGGAUUGUCCCCCACACUGGUACUGAGACACGGACCAGACUCCUACGGGAGGCAGCAGUGAGGAAUAUUGGUCAAUGGGCGCAAGCCUGAACCAGCCAUGCCGCGUGCAGGAAGACGGUUCUAUGAAUUGUAAACUGCUUUUCUACAGGAAGAAUUGUAUUGAUUAUUCAGUAUUUGACGGUACUGUAGGAAUAAGCAUCGGCUAACUCCGUGCCAGCAGCCGCGGUAAUACGAAGGGC